AACCUGAUCCCAAGAGGAAGGUGUGGGCCCUUAGGCAGUGAGGCCUACUGGGGGUUUCCCUUGUACCCUUGUGGGCCAGUUUGACCCUCGCUGCACACUCUCAGGAACCGGGAAUAUGCUCAUACCCGAUACGGGUGUAGAGGAGCAGCAUGGCAGCAAGGGGUACUAGGAACAGGGCCACAAGAAUGAAUAUGGCAUAGGCCCUGCGCAGACUGGCAUCGCUCCAGGACUCAAGGCAACACACGUGGUACAAGUUGUAGAGCAAGUCAUAUUUCACCUGUAAGAAAAAGUUCUGUGUUACCAAGUCUGUAGCAAAAUGAAUACAAGUGAUGAAAGAAA